rnacentral:lncRNA from 1 species
AGAGGGAGGUAUUACACGAAAGGGAAAAUUAAUCAAAGGAGAAACCAAGUCAAAUUAAAGAACUAAUUUAAACAAAAAUGGCUGGGACUACAAAUCAUGUCUCAAUAAUAACCCUGAAUUUUAGUGGCCUAAACUAACCAAUCAAAAGACAUAGACUAGCUGAUUGGAUCCAAAAAGAAAAAAAAGAAAAAAGAACCCAACAAUAUCCUGUCCCCAAGAGACUCAUCUCAUAGGAAAAAACAUACACAGACUGAAGGUAAAAGGAUGGGAAAAAUCAUAACAUACAUGUGGACUGCAGAAGCAAGCAGAGGUUUCUAAUCUCAUUUCAAAUAAAGUAGACUUAAGCUAAAUUUAAUCAAAAAGGAUAAGAAGGACAAUUCAUACUGCUCAAGGGAACCAUACACAAACAAGACAUAACAAUUAUAAAUAUAUAUGCUCCAUUAUUGUUCAUCAAACAACCUCGUCUCAAGCUCAAUUGUCAAGCUGACCACAAUACAAUAAUUCUGUGUGACAUUAACAUACCUCUUUCACAUUGUAUAGAUCUUCC